CGACGUGGAGGCUUGGAGGCGCUGGGGGCCGUUUGGGAUGAAAUAGCGCUCUGUUUCCUUGGUUACCGGUGUUUGUCUUGGCUCUUUUCCGGAAAUCAACAGGCUCCUCUUGGAGCUUGAUGUACACACCUGUGUGUGAUAGACCAGGGUUCUCGGCCUUCCCCAAUCAAUAGAAAUUGGAGACGUUUGUUCAGGUGCAAGCAUUGCAGCUCUGCAGGAAAUGGUCCCAGGUCCCAGCCUGUCUCAUGUGUAUACCUGGACUCAGAUAUUCAGGGACCAGGUGUUAUUCAUCUGGGAAUCCUCCAGGAUGCUAGAAAGGUUGGUGGCAUGGAGUAAUACUGACAUUGGUAGACUGGAAAAUGGCCCCCCAAAUGUUUUCAUGCCAUAAUUCUCAGUUUUAUGCCUGGUUAAAUUACAUGGCAAAAGGGACUUUGCAGAUGGAAUUAAGGUUAUAGACCUUAAAACAGGGAAGUUACCCAGAUGUGCCCAGUGUAAUCAAAUGGACCUUUAAAAGAAGGCAGAAGGGUCCAUCAUCAAUAGGAUUAUGGAAGAAGCAGGAGAGAUUCAAAGACUGAGAGGGACUUGACCAUUGCUGGCUUUGAAGAGAAGCGGACCAUGAGUGAAGGAAUGCAGGCAGCCUCUAGAAGUGGUUUGGCUGGGAAUGGCUCUCAGCCAACAGCAAGGAAAUGGGACCGCGAUCCUUCAGCUGCAAAGAACUGAAUUCUGCCAACAACUGAAUGAACGAGGAAAUGGAGUCCCCCAUGCCACAUCCAGAAGAGAAUGAAGCUCUGCAAAUACCUUGAUUUUAGCCCAGGUGAGACCCAUAUCAGAUGGCUGACCUACAAAACUAUAAGACAAUACACUUGUGUAGCUUAAUACACUUUAGCCACUAAGUCUGUGGUAAUUUGUGAUGGCUGCAAUAGAAACUCACACUUACCUUAGUAAAACCCCCUUUUAAAGGACUCAUCACAGAAGGGUCCCUACAGUCAUUGAAACCAUAUUUUUAAAAACUCGUAUCUGGUCCUUAAUGAUUCUAGUAUAUUAAACUAUAUUAUAAUUGGAAAUGCGUAUAUAGCCAACAAAAAUAAUAAAAUUGUGAACUGAAAA